GAGUUUGAUCAUGGCUCAGAUUGAACGCUGGCGGCAGGCCUAACACAUGCAAGUCGAGCGGUAGAGAGGAGCUUGCUUCUCUUGAGAGCGGCGGACGGGUGAGUAAUGCCUAGGAAUCUGCCUAGUGGUGGGGGAUAACGUUCGGAAACGGACGCUAAUACCGCAUACGUCCUACGGGAGAAAGCGGGGGAUCUUCGGACCUCGCGCCAUUAGAUGAGCCUAGGUCGGAUUAGCUAGUUGGUGAGGUAAUGGCUCACCAAGGCGACGAUCCGUAACUGGUCUGAGAGGAUGAUCAGUCACACUGGAACUGAGACACGGUCCAGACUCCUACGGGAGGCAGCAGUGGGGAAUAUUGGACAAUGGGCGAAAGCCUGAUCCAGCCAUGCCGCGUGUGUGAAGAAGGUCUUCGGAUUGUAAAGCACUUUAAGUUGGGAGGAAGGGUCGUAACCUAAUACGUUACGGCUUUGACGUUACCGACAGAAUAAGCACCGGCUAACUUCGUGCCAGCAGCCGCGGUAAUACGAAGGGUGCAAGCGUUAAUCGGAAUUACUGGGCGUAAAGCGCGCGUAGGUGGUUCAGCAAGUUGGAUGUGAAAGCCCUGGGCUCAACCUGGGAACUGCAUCCAAAACUACUGAGCUAGAGUACGGUAGAGGGUAGUGGAAUUUCCUGUGUAGCGGUGAAAUGCGUAGAUAUAGGAAGGAACACCAGUGGCGAAGGCGACCACCUGGACUGAUACUGACACUGAGGUGCGAAAGCGUGNGGAGCAAACAGGAUUAGAUACCCUGGUAGUCCACGCCGUNAACGAUGUCAACUAGCCGUUGGGAGCCUUGAGCUCUUAGUGGCGCAGCUAACGCAUUAAGUUGACCGCCUGGGGAGUACGGC
rnacentral:rRNA from 1 species